UGCGCAGGUGGGUUGGCAAGUUCGAUGUGAAAGCCCCGGGCUUAACCCGGGAAUGGCAUUGGAUACUGCUGAUCUGGAGGGUCGGGAGGGGGGACGUGGAAUUCUUGGUGUAGCAGUGAAAUGCGUAGAUAUCAAGAGGAACACCAGUGGCGAAGGCGAGUCCCUGGACGAUACCUGACACUGAGGCAACGAAAGCCCAAAGGGGGAGACCAAAACGAG
rnacentral:rRNA from 1 species